GAAACAUUGAUCACUUGCCUCCCGUUCACACUCCAACCAGGGAUUGAACCUGCAACCUAAAGCGCGUGCCCUGACCCAGAAAUCGAACCCACAGUCUUUGGGAGUACGGGACAGUGUCCCAACCAGCUGAGCCACCAGGCCUGGGCACACACACUGCAAGCUCCUGGUGACUCAAAACUGUUCUACAGGCUCUUCAGCUGGUCCAGACUCCUCUGAUGUGAGCACAGAGAUGGAGUCUCAGCAUAUCCAACAUAACCUCUGCUGCAUCCAGGCUUCUCUCUGUGCAGCCCGUGGAACAACCAGAAAUGGCAAGAAGCUCUCAGGCUGGGCUGUUCACAGGUACAGGGAAGCCGUAAUUUCCAUAACAAACACAGGCACACACCGGGCUGUCACAGACGCCUCCACGGGGCUGCAAGGGGAACACCUGCUGAACCAGGACUAGCCAAUGAAGCCCAGAGUGUCUUCCUCUCCUUCCCCAUGCUAAUGAGCUGAGCAGACUCCAAUUAUGAGCCCGGUGCAAGGGCCUGGCCAUGAUGGAAUUUGCCAGUGGCCUUGAAACUGAACUAGCGGUACAUACUGAGAGGCUGCGUGAAACACGGGCAUCUUCAUAGUGCUGGCACCACUCCCGGCCCAUUUACAGAUUCACGCGCUGCUGGAGCUGGAGGGUGACGGAGUUCAGGCACACCUGCUCCUUUCCUGCUGGGAAGACUGAGGCCCAGGGAGCGGCAGGGAUUUGCAUGACAUCCUCAAGUGAGCUGCGGUAAAGAAGCCACAAGAUGUGACGCUGUGCACGCAGGAGCAAACAGCUCCUAAUGUCUCACCAAUGCAUGGUGCCGGCCCCAAGAGGGACGGCAGGAAAGGAGCACAGUGCCUCGGAGGAAUGCAGCCUUGGCUCGGGAGAGAGAACUGCGUGUGCUGGGAGGUGAGGAGGGGUUAUCAUCGCCGCAGUCUCAGUGCACCAGCGCAACAGCCCAACUUGGCCUCUCCGCUUCCCCUCCUACCUCCCCAGUCCAUUCUCCACAUAGCAGCUAAGAAUGC